UACGUAGGGGGCAAGCGUUGUCCGGAAUCAUUGGGCGUAAAGCGCGCGUAGGUGGCCCGGUAAGUCCGCUGUAAAAGUCCAGGGCUCAACCCUCGAAUGCCGGUGGAUACUGUCGGACUAGAGUACGGAAGAGGCGAGUGGAAUUCCUGGUGUAGCGGUGAAAUGCGCAGAUAUCAGGAGGAACACCAAUUGCGAAGGCAGCUCGCUGGGACGUUACUGACGCUGAGACGCGAAAGCGUGGGGGGCAAACAGG
rnacentral:rRNA from 1 species